rnacentral:rRNA from 1 species
GAGGGCACGCCUGCCUGGGUGUCA